AUGAUCUUACUUGAACAGGAUCUGUUCUAUAGGCUCGUACCUCUGUGUCCUUGUGUUUCUAAAGAGACAGAAUUCUAAGUCAGGUUCAUAAAUCGAGGCUGUGUGAUCAGAGCGUGAUUAUUUGUCUGCAGUCCAUGCAUAUAGGGACUGCAUUGGCCACAGAGGAUCGCUCUCUGCUUGCCUUGUCUUGCUGGGAUGGUCACGCAGUUGUCUGACAGACU